GAAGGAUCAUUAUUGAAUGAACUUGGUGUGGUUGUUGCUGGCCCUCUUGGGGGCAUGUGCACACCCACCAUCCUCAUCUCCCCACCUGUGCACCUCUUGUAGACCUGGAUUGACUUUCCGAGGCAACUCGGUCGGGAAGAUUGCUGUGCUCUGUGUGGCCAGCUUUCUUUGCAUGUCCAGGCCUAUGUUUUUCAUAUACCCCUAUAGAAUGUAACAGAAUGUAUCAUUGGGCUUUGUGCCUAUAAACCUUAUACAACUUUCAGCAACGGAUCUCUUGGCUCUCGCAUCGAUGAAGAACGCAGCGAAAUGCGAUAAGUAAUGUGAAUUGCAGAAUUCAGUGAAUCAUCGAAUCUUUGAACGCACCUUGCGCUCCUUGGUAUUCCGAGGAGCAUGCCUGUUUGAGUGUCAUUAAAUUCUCAACCUUAUUAACCUUUGUUGAUAAUGGAUUGGAUUGUGGGGGUUUCUUUUGCUGGUUUCUUCAGAGAUCAGCUCCCCUUAAAUGCAUUAGCUGGUGCCCCGCGUGGACCAUCUAUUGGUGUGAUAAUUAUCUACGCCGUGGAUGUCUGCAAUCAUAUGGGUUUUGCACUGCUUCUAACCGUCUGUUUGACAAUACAUGACAAUUUGACCUCAAAUCAGGUAGGACUACCCGCUGAACUUAAGCAUAUCAAUAAGCGGAGG
rnacentral:sRNA from 1 species